rnacentral:rRNA from 1 species
AGUUACGUUAAGUAGCAAGGUUAAGCACUUAAGGUGCGGAGCCGUAGCGAAAGCGAGUUUUAACUGAGCGUUCAGUUACUUGACGUAGACCCGAAACCGGGCGACCUACCCAUGAGCAGGAUGAAGCGAAAGUAAAAUUUCGUGGAGGUCCGAACCCACGAGCGUUGAAAAGCUCGGGGAUGACUUGUGGGUAGCGGUGAAAUUCCAAUCGAGCCCGGAGAUAGCUGGUUCUCCCCGAAAUAGCUUUAGGGCUAGCCUCAAGGUGAGAGAUACGGAGGUAGAGCACUGAAUGUCCUAGGGGGUAUUGCACCUACCGAAGACUAUCAAACUCCGAAUGCCGUCAUCUUAUACUUGGGAGUCAGACUGUGGGUGAUAAGAUUCAUAGUCGAAAGGGCAACAGCCCAGAUCGUCAGCUAAGGUCCCUAAAUGUAAGUUAAGUGGUAAAGGAUGUGGGAUUGCACAGACAACCAGGAUGUUGGCUUAGAAGCAGCCACUCAUUCAAAGAGUGCGUAAUAGCUCACUGGUCGAGUGAUCCUGCGCCGAAGAUUUCCGGGGCUAAAACUUACUACCGAAGCUACGGCAUCAGUAAUGAUGGGUAGGGGAGCUUCCCAUACGGGUUGAAGCAUGACCGUAAGGACAUGUGGACAGUAUGGGAGUGAGAAUGUUGGCAUGAGUAGCGAGAUGUGGGUGAGAAUCCCACAGGCCGUAAACCCAAGGUUUCCAGGGGAAGGUUCGUCCGCCCUGGGUUAGUCGGGACCUAAGCUGAGGCCGAAAGGCGUAGGUGAUGGACAACAGGUUGAUAUUCCUGUACUACCGAUAACCGUUUGAGAGAUGGGAUGACACAGUAGGAUAAGCUAAGCACACUGUUGGUUAUGUGUGCCCAAGCAUUGAGGCAGUCAAAGUAGGUAAAUCCGCUUUGAUAAUGCUGGGAUGUGAUGGGGAGCGAAAUUUAGUAGCGAAGUAGCUGAUUUCACACUGUCAAGAAAAGUCUCUAUCGAGGUUAAAGGUACCCGUACCGCAAACCGACACAGGUGGGUGAGGAGAGUAUCCUAAGGCCAGCGAGAGAACUGUUGUUAAGGAACUCGGCAAAAUGACCCCGUAACUUAGGGAUAAGGGGUGCCACCAUCAGGUGGCCGCAGAGAAUAGGCCCAAGCGACUGUUUACCAAAAACAUAGGUUUCUGCUAAGUCGCAAGACGAUGUAUAGGAGCUGACGCCUGCCCGGUGCUGGAAGGUUAAGGGGAUCUGUUAGAGCAAUCGAAGCAGUGAACUUAAGCCCCAGUAAACGGCGGCCGUAACUAUAACGGUCCUAAGGUAGCGAAAUUCCUUGUCGGGUAAGUUCCGACCCGCACGAAAGGCGUAACGAUUUGGGCACUGUCUCAACAACAGACUCGGUGAAAUUGUAAUUCCGGUGAAGAUGCCGGAUACCUGCGACAGGACGGAAAGACCCCAUGGAGCUUUACUGUAGCUUGACAUUGGGUCUUGGUACUACAUGUACAGGAUAGGUGGGAGGCUUUGAAACCAGGACGCCAGUUUUGGCGGAGCCAUCCUUGGGAUACCACCCUUGUAGUACUGGGACUCUAACCAUAGGCCAUGAAUCUGGUCUUGGGACACUGUCAGGUGGGCAGUUUGACUGGGGCGGUCGCCUCCCAAAAGGUAACGGAGGCGCUCAAAGGUUCUCUCAGUACGGUCGGAAAUCGUACGUAGAGUGUAAAGGCAAAAGAGAGCUUGAUUGCAAGACAUACAGGUCGAGCAAGGAUGAAAAUCGGACUUAGUGAUCCGGUGGUUCUGCGUGGAAGGGCCAUCGCUCAACGGAUAAAAGCUACCCUGGGGAUAACAGGCUUAUCUCCCCCAAGAGUCCACAUCGACGGGGAGGUUUGGCACCUCGAUGUCGGCUCAUCACAUCCUGGGGCUGUAGUAGGUCCCAAGGGUUGGGCUGUUCGCCCAUUAAAGUGGUACGCGAGCUGGGUUCAGAACGUCGUGAGACAGUUCGGUCCCUAUCCGUCGCAGGCGUAGGAAAUUUGAGAAGACCUGUCCUUAGUACGAGAGGACCGGGAUGGACG